GACGGAGGAUGCAAGCGUUAUCCGGAAUUAUUGGGCGUAAAGCGUCCGCAGGUGGCAGUUCAAGUCUGCUGUCAAAGACCGGGGCUUAACUUCGGAAAGGCAGUGGAAACUGAACAGCUAGAGUAUGGUAGGGGCAGAGGGAAUUCCUGGUGUAGCGGUGAAAUGCGUAGAGAUCCGGAAGAACACCGGAGGCGAAGGCGGCUUGCUGGGCGUAGUCUGACGCUGAGGCGCGAAAGCGUGGGGAGCGAACAGG
rnacentral:rRNA from 1 species